UGUUAUGACUGGGGUCAUAAUUGGUUGAGUGUCUGCUGGGUGUGUGUGCUCUGUGUUUUCUCUGUGUCAAUCUUGUAUGCAAAUAGGUGUGUGCCACAGCAACGCGGUCAUUGGUGGGAUGGACUACGCCCUGUAUGGUGAUUGGCCGAGACCAGCUAUAUCAAGAACCAAGAUGGCAGCCACCAUGUGCAGAGGCCAGGCGUUCCUCAUCCUCCUCCUCUCCCAACCGGCCACCCUAUUUUGCAGCUUAAAGACUAUGGUGUAUUGUGUUCUGUUUUCCUUCAGUAGUAGGGGUGGACUGCCAGUUUUGUUAACAUUAUUUUCUCCUGUAUAUUUUAGUUAGGGAGGUAAGUCUUUGUCAUUUGUUUCCUUUGUUUUGGUUAGGUUAGCAUUACUCUACAGACAGGAUCGUUUUGGUUGUUGUUUUGGCCUUGGUCCACCCUGAAGUCUAGUCAUCCAGCCUUAGUUCCUUUGUCUAUCUUUUGUUAUUUCCUGAAUUAUGUAAAUAAAUCUGUGUUUUAAAAUUGAGCUGAAAUCUCGGUUGUUGUGGCUACUUGGGACUUGGGGAUGAUGAGGCCUUCUCAUGUUGUGCCCUAGGCACCCCUAGACUGGGGCGUAACAUGAAUUGGGGGCUCGUCCGUCUUCUUGUCGCGUUUUCUUCGGUGAGUAUGUGUUUUUCUGGUUGGUAGUUUUUUUUGUGUGUGGGGGGAAUUAUGGAUUUUUCACUGGAUGAUUUUAUGGCCAGUCCCUCUUUUGCAAAAAUUGAAAAAUGUAAAAAAGCAGACCUGUUGAUUGUGGCAAAUUUCUUUAAUGUAAAAGUACCAUACAAUGUCAACAAAGCAGAGCUCAAACAGUUGCUGUGUGCACAGUUGGUGGAGCAGGGCGUCUUACCUAAACCAGCGCUUGAUGCGGUUGCUGCGGGUGAUGUGGCUAGUGUCGCACCGGGGGCUGAGGUGAAAGCGGCGGGGGCUGCUGGCACGCUCGCUGCUGGUGCGGAACUUGGGCCGGUCACGGAUCCUCUCAUGGGUACCAUGACCACAGAGGAUCUCCGCAUAGCACUCCAAAUAAAGGAGGCAGAGACCCGAAACAAACAGCUAGAGGUACAAGCAAAGGAGGCCGAGACCCGAAACAAACAGCUAGAGGUACAAGCCUUGCAUCUACGCUUAAGGGUUCUCGAGCUGGAAAAAGGAGCCUUUGCAGCCUCUACCCCAGUGCCUCCUGUUGACCGCAGCUCUGUUUCUGCUCCCGCUUUUGACAUAAGUAAGCACAUUGCUUUAGUCCCUCCGUUUCGUGAGUCCGAGGUGGACUCGUAUUUUAGCGCUUUCGAGCGGAUAGCUGCUGCCCUGAGUUGGCCUAAAGAGUUCUGGUCCCUUCUCCUCCAGUGUAAAUUAGUGGGGAAAGCUCAAGAAGUCUGUGCCAGUCUGUCUAUCGAGGAUAGUCUUGAUUAUAAAAUCUUGAAAAAGACUGUGUUGCAGGCCUACGAGCUGGUCCCUGAAGCCUAUCGGCAAAAAUUUAGAAAUAGUGAGAAAACUUCCAACCAGACUUAUGUUGAAUUUGUGCGUGACAAGAGCGUUCUGUUUGAUAAAUGGUGCCACGCGUGUAAUAUUAAAACUAUGGCGGAAAUGAGAGAGCUCAUUUUGCUCGAGGAAUUUAAAAAGUGUUUGCCGGAGCGAAUUGUCGUAUAUUUGAAUGAGCAAAAGGAGUCAUCGGUAACGAAAGCAGCUGUGCUCGCCGAUGCGUUCAUUUUGACUCAUAAAAGCGUUUUUUCUUUGCCAACCCCUCGUGUUUUACAUCCAAUGUCUGAGCGCAGAAACCGAUCGCCAAAGCUGAUGCGUAAAAGCACCUCACCAGCUGCGGGUGAGAGCCGCGAGUGUUUUUAUUGCCACGAGCCAGGCCAUUUGAUCGCUGCAUGUCCGACUCUUAGAAAAAAAGGACAACACAAAAACGGUAAACCUCCUGCAGGUGUGGGUUUCAUUAACACCGUGUCCCCGCCUGUAACACUCCCGGAGUCUUUACCUGAAGCCGAGGUAAAUGUGGAGGUUGACCCUCGUUUCAAACCGUUCGUUUCACAAGGAUUUGUUUCUGUAACUGGCGAGGAAGCGGAUAAAGUACCGGUAACUAUUCUCCGAGAUACAGCCGCCUAUCAUUCAUUCAUUCUGGCUAGUGUUCUGCCACUCUCAAAUGAAACUUCAUGUUUCUCUGAUUUGUUAGUGUGGGGAAUUAAAAUGAGCGAACUUAACGCCCCACUU
rnacentral:lncRNA from 1 species